GCAUAUCAAUAAGCGGAGGAAAAGAAACCAACAGGGAUUGCCCUAGUAACGGCGAGUGAAGCGGCAACAGCUCAAAUUUGAAAGCUAGCCUUCGGGUUCGCAUUGUAAUUUGUAGAGGAUGAUUUGGGGAAGCCGCCUGUCUAAGUUCCUUGGAACAGGACGUCAUAGAGGGUGAGAAUCCCGUAUGUGACAGGAAAUGGCACCCUAUGUAAAUCUCCUUCGACGAGUCGAGUUGUUUGGGAAUGCAGCUCUAAAUGGGAGGUAAAUUUCUUCUAAAGCUAAAUAUUGGCGAGAGACCGAUAGCGCACAAGUAGAGUGAUCGAAAGAUGAAAAGCACUUUGGAAAGAGAGUUAAAAAGCACGUGAAAUUGUUGAAAGGGAAGCGCUUGCAAUCAGACUUGUUUAAACUGUUCGGCCGGUCUUCUGACCGGUUUACUCGGUUUGGACAGGCCAGCAUCAGUUUCGGCGGCCGGAUAAAGGCUCUGGGAAUGUGGCCUCCACUUCGGUGGAGGUGUUAUAGCCCAGGGUGUAAUACGGCCAGCCGGGACUGAGGUCCGCGCUUCGGCUAGGAUGCUGGCGUAAUGGUUGUAAGCGACCCGUCUUGAAACACGGACCAAGGAGUCUAACAUCUAUGCGAGUGUUCGGGUGUCAAACCCCUGCGCGUAAUGAAAGUGAACGGAGGUGGGAACCCGCAAGGGUGCACCAUCGACCGAUCCUGAUGUCUUCGGAUGGAUUUGAGUAAGAGCAUAGCUGUUGGGACCCGAAAGAUGGUGAACUAUGCCUGAAUAGGGUGAAGCCAGAGGAAACUCUGGUGGAGGCUCGCAGCGGUUCUGACGUGCAAAUCGAUCGUCAAAUUUGGGUAUAGGGGCGAAAGACUAAUCGAACCAUCUAGUAGCUGGUUCCUGCCG
rnacentral:rRNA from 1 species